rnacentral:lncRNA from 1 species
UAAAUUAUAAUCCAAGUAUGUUUACAAAGGCAGUUGGCUCUACUCCUUGAGCCUUAUGGGCAUUCGCUAUGCCAACUCUGAUGUGGAACCUAGGAUAUUUCAUCAUAGCUUUGGAUUCUACAACUAGCUAGGACUUUACGAAGAUGUUGCACAAGCAUAAGUGAUGUCAAGUUUUUUCGGUUUGAAAACAAACUAUUUGAAGUGGUCUAACAACUUUGUCUAAGAAGGUAAGCUGAUGGCCUAGGCCUCGUCACCUUGCCUAGGUCUUCAAGAGGCAAUUUUUAUUUUUCGGGUCUCGCAUGGUGGCCUAGGCGAUCUAGG